CGGCGAUACUUAAGUGUUAUUUAUUAUCUCAUUGAUUUAAUUAGUAAUAUUUUUUAUUUGUCGAUUAUUUUUAAGUUAAAAUAAAAUUUUUAAUUUUACUUAUUUUUACUAUAUUUUGAGUGAAUACAAAUAGUUAAUGAAUUAUUUUAUAAUUAUGUUCGGCACCUCCUAAAUAAUAUGAUCAAGUUCUGCCACUACUUUCUUCUCUGGCAAUAUCCAACCUAGCGAUCGGUAAGGCUUUCCCAUCGGUGAAGCACGCACCAGCAACUCCCGAGAGCCUAGAACGACGAUAAACAAGGGCAGCAGAGAGAGAGAGAGAGAGA
rnacentral:misc_RNA from 1 species